AUUGAACGCUGGCGGCAUGCCUUACACAUGCAAGUCGAACGGCAGCACGGGGGCAACCCUGGUGGCGAGAGGCGAACGGGUGGGUAAUGCAUCGGAACGUGUCCUCUUGUGGGGGAUAACCAGUCGAAAGACUGGCUAAUACCGCAUGAGAUCGAGAGAUGAAAGCGGGGGACCGCAAGGCCUCGCGCGAGAGGAGCGGCCGAUGCCCGAUUAGCUAGUUGGUGGGGUAAGAGCCCACCAAGGCGACGAUCGGUAGCUGGUCUGAGAGGACGACCAGCCACACUGGGACUGAGACACGGCCCAGACUCCUACGGGAGGCAGCAGUGGGGACUUUUGGACAAUGGGGGCAACCCUGAUCCAGCCAUGCCGCGUGUGUGAAGGAGGCCUUCGGGUUGUAAAGCACUUUCGGACGGAACGAAAUCGCGCGGGCGAAUAUCCCGCGUGGAUGACGGUACCGUAAGAAGAAGCACCGGCUAACUACGUGCCAGCCGCCGCAGUAAAAC
rnacentral:rRNA from 1 species